rnacentral:rRNA from 1 species
GAUCAGUGGCGAACGGGUGAGUAACACGUGAGCAAUCUGCCCCUGACUCUGGGAUAAGCGCUGGAAACGGCGUCUAAUACCGGAUACGAGCUGCGAUCGCAUGGUCAGUAGCUGGAAAGAAUUUCGGUCAGGGAUGAGCUCGCGGCCUAUCAGCUUGUUGGUGAGGUAAUGGCUCACCAAGGCGUCGACGGGUAGCCGGCCUGAGAGGGUGACCGGCCACACUGGGACUGAGACACGGCCCAGACUCCUACGGGAGGCAGCAGUGGGGAAUAUUGCACAAUGGGCGGAAGCCUGAUGCAGCAACGCCGCGUGAGGGAUGACGGCCUUCGGGUUGUAAACCUCUUUUAGCAGGGAAGAAGCGAAAGUGACGGUACCUGCAGAAAAAGCGCCGGCUAACUACGUGCCAGCAGCCGCGGUAAUACGUAGGGCGCAAGCGUUAUCCGGAAUUAUUGGGCGUAAAGAGCUCGUAGGCGGUCUGUCGCGUCUGCUGUGAAAACCCGAGGCUCAACCUCGGGCCUGCAGUGGGUACGGGCAGACUAGAGUGCGGUAGGGGAGAUUGGAAUUCCUGGUGUAGCGGUGGAAUGCGCAGAUAUCAGGAGGAACACCGAUGGCGAAGGCAGAUCUCUGGGCCGUAACUGACG